rnacentral:rRNA from 1 species
UACGUAGGGUGCAAGCGUUGUCCGGAAUUAUUGGGCGUAAAGAGCUCGUAGGCGGUUUGUCGCGUCUGCUGUGAAAACUCGGGGCUUAACCCCGGGCCUGCAGUGGGUACGGGGCAGACUAGAGUGCGGUAGGGGGAGACUGGAAUUCCUGGUGUAGCGGUGAAAUGCGCAGAUAUCAGGAGGAACACCGGUGGCGAAGGCGGGUCUCUGGGCCGUAACUGACGCUGAGGAGCGAAAGCGUGGGGAGCGAACAGG